ACAGAGGGAUCCGCCCCUUUCCUGGCUGCCUACACAGAAAGCAGCCAUGGGAGACUUGCCGAGGACUUUGUCCACCAAGUGAUGAAAGCAUGCAAAUGCCUCCGAAUCAAAGAAUUCAAUCCACGUUACUCCAUUGCCAUUUGUUACCACGUCCUUCAGUCUCCUCAAUCUCUCAGUCCCCUUAUUUUUCGUGACCUUGACAACUUUGAGGAGGACUCAUCAGCCCUCAGAGAUUCCUUCUCCUCGCUGCUCCUCCUCUCCCAGUUCCUGCCCAGGCUGACUCUAUCAUACAAGCUGUAACUUCUGCCAGUCCUAUCAGCCAGCAAACAACAAAGCUGCAGCACUGCCAAGGACAUGGAUCUCUCAAGCUCCUGUCUGGCACAUUGCAGGAAGUAAGGGGCAUGUCUAACCACCACGCUCAGCCAAGCCAAAGAACAAAGGCAGCGGCACUCUCUCUGGACCUUGGGGAAUAACACAGCCCUCCCAGGCAGAAGAUGCAAGCAUUCCUGUUGCAGUGCAAUUAGGAGCAGCGAAGAAACUCAGACAUGUGCCCCUUCUGUGUUGGCAACUGAUAUGACAGAACUUCAUGAGGUGCAAAAUACAGGCUGUGUGUGUGUGUGUGUGUGUGUGUGCACACUCGGUGCUAUAUGCUGCAGCCCAAGUUUCAGAGUGAUUUUUAACUUGAAGCUGAUGAGAUGGGAUAUUGUGUCUUUUUUAAAAAUGUAACCAACAA
rnacentral:lncRNA from 10 species